rnacentral:rRNA from 1 species
GAUGAACGCUGGCGGCGUGCUUAACACAUGCAAGUCGAACGGAAAGGCCCUGCUUUUGUGGCUUUCUCGAGUGGCGAACGGGUGAGUGACACGUGAGUAACCUGCCCUUGUCUUUGGGAUAACUUCAGGAAACUGCGGCUAUUACAGGAUAGGAUAUCCUGCUCCAUGGUGGGCAUUGGAAAGUUUCGGCGGUUGGGGCUGGACUCGCGGGUUAUCCGCUUGGUUGUCGGGUAGUUGCUUACCAAGGCUUUGACGGGUAGCCGGCCUGGGAGGGUGACCGGCGACAUUGGGACUGAGGUAGGGAGCAGACGCCGACGGGAGGCAGCAGUGGGGAGUAUUACACAGUGGGCGGAAGCCUGAGGCAACAACGCCGGGGGCGGGAUGACGGCCUUCGGGUUAUAAACCGCUUUCGCGUGAGACGAAGCGUGAGUGACGGUAACGGGUAAAGAAGCACCGGCUAACUACGUG